rnacentral:lncRNA from 1 species
CAGUCAAUGAAAUUUCCGGCCAAUGAAAUGCUCUACUGUGACUGAAGCAGCAAAGAGAAGAUGGGUGGCUUUGAAAUCAGAAUUGGAUGCAGAGGGAGUCCCAGAGGCCAACACUGUGAACAUAAGAAGGGAAAGACCAGUUCUGCAAGCACAGAUGUAAUUUUGAGAAGCAGAGCUACAGUUCUGCCGGAGGCCUCUCCAGAUUGUGAUGCACUGGGAGCAAGCCACCAUGAACAUAUCCUCAGGUCUCCAGUCUUCUGCCAUCGCAUGAAAAAUGGAGCUUGUCAAACACAGAGCAGAGCUGAACUUUCUGAAUUCCACAGGACAGUUCAGAGUGCUUGGAAUGACACCCACCUGCAAUUUAAACAAAAAAGAAGGAUGAGUAAGUGAGGAGCUAAAAAUUGCAUGUUUCCCUAAAUUAGAUUUAUUUGUAAGCUUUAAGUAAGUGCAAACAUAUUUCGAAUUAUCUGUUAUGAAUUGUGGUUUUGUUAUUAAAUAGACAUUUUGUUUAAUUCUU